rnacentral:rRNA from 1 species
AUUGAACGCUGGCGGCAGGCCUAACACAUGCAAGUAGAACGAGUGGCGGACGGGUGAGUAAUGUCUGGGAAACUGCCCGAUGGAGGGGGAUAACUCCUGGAAACGGUCGCUAAUCCCGCAUACCAUCAGAUGUGCCCAGAUGGGAUUAGCUAGUGGGUGGGUUAACGGCUCACCGACGCGACGAUCACUAGCUGGUCUGAGAGGAGGACCAGCCACACUGGAACGGAGACACGGCCCAGACUCCUACGGGAGUCAGCAUUGGGGAAUAUUGCACAAUGGGGGCAAGCCUAAUGCGGCCAUGCCGCGUGGAUGAAGAAGGCCUUCGGGUGGUAAAGUACUUUCAGCGAGGAGGCGUUACUCGCAGAAGAAGCACCGGCUAACUCCGUGCCAGCAGCCGCGGUAAUUC